ACACGUGAAAGGAGGUGGUCCAGAAGAUGCAUUCUUACCGGACUUGUGAGGUGGCUGCCCGCUAGCAGCUUCCCUGCCGACAGGAUUCACUGCGCAGCGUUGCAAGCGGCCAGCGAAUUCAAGGCAGUCACCCGACCCGCAGGCGCUUCCGGACUUUUUGGUCCGCCGGAAGACGACGAGAAGGUCCCCUCGGGGAAACCGUUCGUCAACGCCUGCGGGUCGUUCCCA
rnacentral:sRNA from 1 species